rnacentral:rRNA from 1 species
GUCCACGCCCUAAACGAUGAAUACUCGAUGUUGGCGAUAUACAGUCAGCGUCUAAGGGAAACCUUUAAGUAUUCCACCUGGGGGAGUACGUCCGCAAGGAUGAAACUCAAAGAAAUUGGCGGGGGUCCGCACAAGCGGUGGAUUAUGUGGUUUAAUUCGAUGAUACGCGAGGAACCUUACCAGGGCUAGAAUGUAAUUGGAAUAUAGAGGAAACUUUAUAGCUAGCAAUAGCCGGUUACAAGGUGCUGCAUGGUUGUCGU